rnacentral:rRNA from 1 species
GCGUUGAUUAUAAUCUUGCGGGAUUAUUGGAGCCAUCAGUGAGAUACCACCCUUGUAAUGUUAGAUUUCUAACUUUGAAUCAUUAUCUGGUCAAAGAACAGUUUCAGGCGGGCAGUUUGACUGGGGCGGUCGCCUCCUAAACGGUAACGGAGGCGUAUAAAGGUUUCCUCUGAACGGUUAGAAAUCGUAUCUAGAGCGUAAAGGCAUAAGGAAGCUUGACUGUGAGACCUACAAGUCGAGCAGGGACGAAAGUCGGUCUUAGUGAUCUGACGGUACUGAGUGGAAAGGCCGUCACCCAACGGAUAAAAGUUACUCUAGGGAUAAC